rnacentral:rRNA from 1 species
AGAGUUUGAUCCUGGCUCAGAGCGAACGCUGGCGGCGUGCUUAACACAUGCAAGUCGAACGCGCAGUUUUCUGUAGCAAUACAGGGAAUGGGCGCGUGGCGGACGGGUGAGUAACACGUGGGUAAUCUGCCCUCAUGUGGGGGAUAACCCGCCGAAAGGCGGGCUAAUACCGCAUAACAUUCCGGGGACUUCGGUCGCUGGAAUCAAAGGUCGCAAGACCGCAAGAGGAGGGGCCCGCGCCCGAUUAGCUUGUUGGCGAGGUAAUGGCUCACCAAGGCUAUGAUCGGUAGCCGGUCUGAGAGGAUGGCCGGCCACACUGGAACUGAGACACGGUCCAGACUCCUACGGGAGGCAGCAGUGGGGAAUCUUGCGCAAUGGGCGAAAGCCUGACGCAGCAACGCCGCGUGGGGGAUGAAGCUUCUCGGAGUGUAAACCCCUUUCGACCCGGACGAAAUCCCGCAAGGGAGUGACGGUACGGGUAUAAGAAGCCCCGGCUAACUACGUGCCAGCAGCCGCGGUAAAACGUAGGGGGCCAGCGUUGCUCGGAAUUACUGGGCGUAAAGGGUCCGUAGGCGGUGCGGCAAGUCGGAAGUGAAAUCUCAGGGCUUAACCCUGGGGCUGCUCCCGAAACUGCCGUGCUCGAGUGCGAGAGAGGCGAGUGGAAUUGCGGGUGUAGCGGUGAAAUGCGUAGAUAUCCGCAGGAACAUCCGAGGCGAAAGCGGCUCGCUGGAUCGCAACUGACGCUGAGGGACGAAAGCUAGGGGAGCAAACAGGAUUAGAUACCCUGGUAGUCCUAGC